CUGGCUGGUUGUGGGAUCCGGAGGCAUCUACGGUUGGAAUGUGACUCCAGUCUCCUUUUCCCUCAUCAUCUGCCAG
rfam:Pongo abelii chromosome 1.